rnacentral:rRNA from 1 species
UAUCCAUUGGAGGGCAAGUCUGGUGCCAGCAGCUGCGGUAAUACCAGCUCCAAUAGCGUAUAUUAAAGUUGUUGCAGUUAAAAAGCUCGUAGUUGGACUUGUGUGCGCUGUCCGCGGGUGGCCUGCGCCCAAAAGGGCGUUUCGGUUCGGCCCCGGUGGCGCCUUGAAAUCUGCAGCUGGGGGGACGUUGGCCUUAACUGGUCGGCGACCGCACGCCGGCUGCUCGGUUACUGUGAGAAAAUUAGAGUGUUCAAGGCAGGCAUUGGGUGCAAUUGAAUACAUUAGCAUGGAAUAAUAAAAUAUGGCUCCUGCCGUAUUUUGUUGGUUUUGACUGGUGGGAGUAAUGAUUGAUAGGGACGGUUGGGGGUGCUAGUAUGAGCGGCCAGAGGUGAAAUUCAUGGAUUCGCUCAAGACUAACUUAUGCGAAAGCAUUCACCAAGGACGUCCUCUUUAAUCAAGAACGAAAGUUGGGGGAUCGAAGACGAUCAGAUACCGUCGUAGUCUCAACCAUAAACUAUGUCGACUUGGGAUCGGCGGUAGUUUUUUCAUUAAGACACUGUCGGGACCACGGGAGAAAUCAAAGUGUCUGGACUCUGGGGGAAGUAUGGUCGCAAGGCUGAAACUUGAAGGAAUUGACGGAAGGGCACCACCAGGAGUGGAGCCUGCGGCUUAAUUUGACCCAACACGGGGAAACUUACCAGGUCCAGAGAUGUAGAGGAUUGACAGAUUGAAGCUCUUUCUUGAUCACUUCGGUGGUGGUGCAUGGCCGUUCUUAGUUGGUGGAGUGAUUUGUCUGGUUAAUUCCGUUAACGAACGAGACCUCAGCCUGCUAGUGUAGUCGGCUGGAUUGCCUUUGGCGAUCCGUGAUUUCGACUUCUUAGAGGGACAAUCGACGCGCAGUCGAUGGAAGUUUGAGGCAAUAACAGGUCUGUGAUGCCCUUAGAUGUUCUGGGCCGCACGCGCGCUACACUGCUGGGCUCAGCGAGUUUUACUUGGCCGAGAGGCCCGGUUAAUCUUGUGAAAUCCCAGCGUGCUUGGGCUCGCCUCCUGCAACUGGAGGCGCCAACGAGGAAUUCCUAGUAGACGCAGGUCAUCAACCUGCAUCGAUUACGUCCCUGCCCUUUGUACACACCGCCCGUCGUUCCAUAAGAGUGAGGCAUCCGGUGAAUUCUCGGGAGAGCCUGGGCGUGGCCAGCAAUGGUCUGCUCGGGUUUGAACUUGCAUAAACUUGG